rnacentral:pre_miRNA from 1 species
AGAGGGAUAGCUGGGUCAAAUGGUGGUUCCAUUCCCAGAUUUCCAAGGAAUCUCUAAACUGCUUUCCAUAUUGGCUGUACCGAUUUGCAGUCCUACCAGCAAU